UACGUAGGGUGCAAGCGUUGUCCGGAAUUAUUGGGCGUAAAGAGCUCGUAGGCGGUCUGUCGCGUCGGCUGUGAAAACCCGGGGCUCAACCCCGGGCCUGCAGUCGAUACGGGCAGACUAGAGUGUGGUAGGGGAGACUGGAAUUCCUGGUGUAGCGGUGAAAUGCGCAGAUAUCAGGAGGAACACCGGUGGCGAAGGCGGGUCUCUGGGCAUUAACUGACGCUGAGGAGCGAAAGCAUGGGGAGCGAACAGG
rnacentral:rRNA from 1 species